UACGGGGGGAGCAAGCGUUGUUCGGAUUUACUGGGCGUAAAGGGCGCGUAGGCGGCCAGCACAAGUCAGUUGUGAAAUCUCCGAGCUUAACUCGGAAAGGUCAACUGAUACUGUGCGGCUAGAGUGCGGAAGGGGCAACUGGAAUUCUUGGUGUAGCGGUGAGAUGCGUAGAUAUCAAGAGGAACACCUGCGGCGAAGGCGGGUUGCUGGGCCGGACACUGACGCUGAGGCGCGAAAGCCAGGGGAGCGAACGGG
rnacentral:rRNA from 1 species